rnacentral:lncRNA from 1 species
UAAAAUAUUUUCUUCGUCCAUAAAAUUACCCAAAAAUAUUUUUCACUUUUCUUAAUGUUUUACUUAAUUUUAUAUAAUGUUUAUUUUCGUAUUUUUUUAAUAUUAAUAUUUUAUUUUAAUUAUUUAUUCUAAAUGGUCCAUUUUAACACACUUUUUUUUAUUGAUUUUAUUUUCAUGACUUAAAAUUAUUUUUAGCAUUUGAUUUUUGGGAUGAAGGUUGACCACUGUCUCAUGGUCAAGCUGACAUUUUCUUGGAAUUUUAUUUCACAUUUUCAAAAUAUUUUGGAUUUAUUUUUGACCUAGUUUUGUUGUUGACUUUUAAUUUGACCUAUGUUUAAUUUUAAUUAAUUCAUGUACCAAUUUUCAUUAUUUUAAAAAUCUUUUUGGGGGAUGAUGAUGUCCUGACCCCACCUUAUUUAGGUUAAUUUUUCAUAAUUUUCUUGAUUAAUUUACUAUUUAUUCUUGAUUUAUUUCUAACCUAGUCUUAUUAAUUGACUUUUCGUUUGACCUAUGUUUUGUUUUAAUUAAUUCACGUGCCAGAUUUCAUUAUUUUUAAAAUAUUUUUGGGGAUGGUGAUGUCCUGACCCCAUCUUAUUUAGUUUAAUUUUUCAUAAUUUUCUUGAUUAAUUUGCUAUUUAUUUGUUAUUUUUUAAGUUGACUUGAAUUUUC